AGUGAACGCUGGCGGCGUGGAUUAGGCAUGCAAGUCGAGCGAUCUCGCAAGGGAUAGCGGCAAACGGGUGAGGAACACGUAAGUAAUCUUCCCCUUAUCUGGACAUAGCCCUAUGAAAAUAGGGGUAAUAUCCAAUGACACCAUGAGGUUGCAUAACUUUAUGUUAAAGACGGGGACCGCAAGGCCUGUCGAUAAGGGAUGAGCUUGCGUAGCAUCAGCUAGUUGGUAGGGUAACGGCCUACCAAGGCUAUGACGCUUAGCUGGUCUGAGAGGAUGGUCAGCCACACUGGGACUGAGACACUGCCCAGACUCCUACGGGAGGCUGCAGUCGAGAAUCUUUAGCAAUGGACGAAAGUCUGACUAUGCGACGCCGCGUGAGGGAGUGAAGGUUUUCGGUAUUACGUAAACCUCUUUUGGUCGAAGGGAAGAAAAUAACGCAUAUAAUAUAUG
rnacentral:rRNA from 1 species